rnacentral:rRNA from 1 species
AGAGUUUGAUCCUGGCUCAGAUUGAACGCUGGCGGCAUGCCUAACACAUGCAAGUCGAACGGCAGCAUGGUGUGUAGCAAUACACAUUGAUGGCGAGUGGCGGACGGGUGAGAAACGCGUGGGAAUCUGCCCUUGAGAGUGGGACAACCCGAGGAAACUCGGGCUAAUACCGCAUGACCUCGGAAGAGGAAAGGCUGGGU